CAUCCCCAAAAAAUUAAAAACUUUAUAUAGUAAGAAAGAAAUGAAUAAAAAUAAAUACAUAAAAUAAAAUAAAUACAGUUUUAAAUGAGGCCAAAUCUUCCAUGAACCACGAUUGGGAUGUAAAUUACUUUUCACUGUGACCACAGUGAUGGCGAACUACAUCACUCACUAAGGGUGGAGAGGGACUUCUCCUCCUCAUCUUAUUAGAAUAACAAAUGACCACCCACCUAAAGGCUGCACCAGCCCACUCCGUGCCCACACUGCCCUGCGUUUCGGCAACAUGUGGCAGUUCUGCAGCAAAACCUUCAAUUCAGUCUCUCAGAUUUAUCACAAGAACCUCACAUGCCCUCAAGUGGCAACAAGCUAAAAUUACAAUUGGGCAGUUCAGGGUUGUAGACUUCCAGGAAAUGCAGAAAUCCUUAAGACAAUUUUAAAAAAUGAAGCAUGAAAAAAGCCAUCAGGAAAGAAUGAAGUCAAAUUUAUUCAGAAGAAAAAAGUGAAUACAACUUCAAACGCUUUCAGAGGUCACAGCACAUGGAACACACGUAAAUAACCUUUGUUUUCCACUAAGCACAAACUGGACUUCUAUUAGAAUAAAGAAAAUUUAAGCAAGAAACCAGAUUUAAACAAGAAACAGUGAUUGGAAAUAUUCAAGAAUAAAGUAGGUA
rnacentral:lncRNA from 1 species